rnacentral:piRNA from 1 species
UGGCCAGAAGUUGCCUCAAACUUGGUACGA